rnacentral:rRNA from 1 species
CCUACGGGCGGCAGCAGUGAGGGAUAUUGGACAAUGGGCGGAAGCCUGAAGCAGCCAAGCCGCGUGGGGGAUGAAGGGUUUAUGGAUCGUAAACCUCUUUUAUAAGGGAAUAAAGUGUGGGACGUGUCCUAUUUUGUAUGUACCUUAUGAAUAAGGAUCGGCUAACUCCGUGCCAGCAGCCGCGGUAAUACGGAGGAUCCGAGCGUUAUCCGGAUUUAUUGGGUUUAACGGGUGCGCAGGCGGCGUCUUAAGUCAGCGGUGAAAGUCUGUGGCUCAACCCUGGAAUUGCCGUUGAAACUGGGGGGCUUGAGUAUAGUAGAGGCAGGCGGAAUGCGUGGUGUAGCGGUGAAAUGCGUAGAUAUCACGCAGAACCCCGAUUGCGAAGGCGGCCUGC